AUGUCAACUUUGGAAGUGAGAAAGUUUGAUGCAAUGGUGACUUCUGGUUAUGGCAAUGAGCUGCUCUUGCAAAUACAUUCGGUUUUGGUUGACAAGGGAUUGGACACGGGGCUAGAAGGUGGUGAGGAAAAUAUGGCAAAUGAUGAGAUUAAGAAGCUAGAUAAGAAGGCAUUGACAGUUCUUCGUUUGAAUCUUGCUGACGAUGUGUUCAAGCAAGUUUGUGUUUGGUGGGGGGGGGGGGACUGCUUUGUUAUUAUGGAAGAAAAUGGAAGCGCUCUAUUUGGACCACUGUCCAGCAUAUUCUACCUCAUGAUGCACUUGUUUACGAUGCAUAUGACAAAAGGAGGUCCUUUGAGCAUGGUUGUGGUGGUAAAGCUGCUCCCAAUAGUAGUAACUGAAAAUCCAAGGGACGUUCACAGCCAUGUUCUAGCAAGAAAAUUUGAUGCCACUAUUGUAAGGAGGAGGUCCAUAUCAGGGCGGCUUGCUUACUGGGUCAGCCUUGCUGGCUUCAAGCUCCUACAUGGACGAUAG
rnacentral:rRNA from 1 species